CACCUUUUCUGACCCGGGUUUCUGUUGAUCCACGCCGGACCCUGUCGAGGAAAUGUGGCGACGGUUCACCGACGGCACCGGAGAGUCACGCGGAGAUGUGUCCGGUCGAGGCCGGGUUACCAAACCAAGAUCCGGGUUCGAGACCUCGACUGUUGUAGUUCAUAUUGGCCUUUGGCGUUUUAAAGUUGUGUUUUGGUCGAAACCAUUUUUUUUUUUCUUGCCUGUCAAAACCUCGGGCGAGGUGCUGGUGUCCCGUCUCAGGCCGCGAGGCUGCGGCCGGUGGAUCGACAUGUAACCGCACAAUCCGGGACGUCGAUGAAUGCGCGGAAUUUCCUCGUGGAUCGUUUGUUUUUUUCUGCAGCGCAUCCCGCGUGGGCGGCUUCGACGCUGCGACGAAGGCGCAUGUCGGGAGGAAAGUCUCGUGGAAACGCAGGCGGUGUUUGUUUUGAGUCGAGAGAAAGGUCGAGGAGGGCGGUUGACAUUUUGAUAAAUUCCCGGGGGCGACCGCCCGUAAGAGCCGCUCAAAGAUGAAAAAGGAGCGCCCGUCUGCUGCUACCGUUCAAGGAGGAUCUGCAGCGGGGGGGGGUACAUUACUUUGGUCCCCCCACCAGUCAGCUUCCAGAGCCAAGGGGCGGCCUCCUGCUCCGCCCGUCGCACCGUGAUGACCGGAAAAAAAGUGCGGACGUUGGUUUAGGCCACUUUGAUUUUUCUGUUUACCUUCUUGAUCUUACAUAUGUUAUACAUUAAUUAUUACAACUACAUGUUUAAAAACACUUAAAAAUAAAA